rnacentral:lncRNA from 1 species
UUGCUUUUAAGGGGAGUCUAGUAAGCAACUUUCUGGGCACUUCUGGUUUAGAUUCUCUUCAUUACUGAAACUCCUGAGAAAUAUUACCUGUGGAUUAGUUUUGCACAAUGUCCUAUUCUCACAAUGACUUAAAAUUAAACUAGGUUUUUAUUGAACUACCUCACACUGAUUUUCUAUGCUUUCCCAAGUAAGCUGUAGCCCUUACUGUUUGACCUUUACUGAGUGUAAAUUAUAAAUGUGCGUUGAAUACUUUCUAGCCACUGUUCACAAAAUACCAGUAAGCAUGUGAAGUGCAAACCUUGCGUCAGUAAGAGACAGUCCCGUGUAGUCUUCCACUGUGUCUGGGGAAUUGUGCUGCAUACGCUUAUUGACAUCCUCACUGUUUUUGUAAGAAACCUGCUCGAGAUACCAGUCCAUGCUUUACAUUUUACAGAAGGAGAAAAUCUUAGUAAAUUUUACGAAGAAAUACAUUACUUUUGUAGGCCCAAUAUUUGGUAUAUUUUUGAGAAGCUGUUAAUCUUAUAGCGGAAUGAUGAAGUUACACUGAAGUAGCUGUCUGCCUGGACUGUGAUGUCUGUUUUCUCAUUACGGUUUACCCUGUUAAUAAGGUUUUAAACCUCAAAACAUAGGAUGAUAAUUAGAUUUUUUCCUCUUUCCCUGUACAUGUCAUUCCUUCAUCCCGCCCCUUCCGUGUGCUCUCCUCUCUUCUCCUCUAGACAAAACAAAUGGGCACUUUGUAGGGAAUGCUGGGAUCGUUACCGUGGGUUAUCGUUCAUGCCCUAGUCAUUCAACAUGCACCACUGGGUGUAAACAGUGUUAUCUAGUGUGUCAAUUGGUUAUAAUAUUUU